GGAGACGAAGAAGUAAGAGGAGGAGGAGGACGAGGAGGAGGAGAGAAGAAUGCAUUCUCCUUCAAGAAGUGUUCUGCUUUUCAGUUUGUGAAGAGAAAGGUCAGGAAGUGGAAGAUGUUGAGCCGUCACCACGGUGAUGCUAAGCAGAAGGAGGCGGAGUCUGAGGUGCACCUUGGGGGCGGACCAUGGGGGGUGAGAACCAACCACCAGCUGGCUAGCCCUGUCCUGCUGGAGUGCUGUGUCUGCAGUGGACCCUUCGUUAGCUACGCUCUGGAAGAGGCCUGGCAGCCACGGCAACGCACACAGGCGAUGGAUCUGUACUACCAUAGUGAACCAGACCCAGAGUACUACUGCUGUCGC
ensembl:lncRNA